rnacentral:rRNA from 1 species
GACGAACGCUGGCGGCGUGCUUAACACAUGCAAGUCGAACGAUGAAGAAAAGAAUUGCAGCUUCGGCAGAAAUUCAUUUCGGAUUAGUGGCAGACGGGUGAGUAACGCGUGAGCAACCUACCUCUUACAAAGGGAUAGCCUCGGGAAACCGGGAUUAAUACCAUAUAACAUUGCGACGAAGCAUUUCGAUGCAAUCAAAGCUACGGCGGUAAGAGAUGGGCUCGCGUCCCAUUAACCAGAUGGUGAGGUAACGGCUCACCAUAGUAACGAUGGGUAACCGGGCUGAGAGGGUGAACGGUCACACUGGAACUGAGACACGGUCCAGACUCCUACGGGAGGCAGCAGUGGGGAAUAUUGCACAAUGGAGGGAACUCUGAUGCAGCGACGCCGCGUGAGUGAUGAAGGAAUUCGUUUCGUAAAACUCUGUUCUAUGGGAAGAAAAGGACUGUACCAUAGGAGAAAGCGCCGGCUAAAUACGUG